rnacentral:rRNA from 1 species
AAUGAACGCUGGCGGCGUGCUUAACACAUGCAAGUCGAACGAGAAAGAGGUUGCUUGCAACCUUGAGUAGAGUGGCGCACGGGUGAGUAACACGUAGAUAAUCUACCUUCAAGCCUGGAAUAACUAUUCGAAAGGGUAGCUAAUACCGGAUAAAGUUGAUCAACAUAAGUUGGUUUAUGAAAGAUUGCCUCUUCUUGAAAGCAAUUGUUUGGAGAUGAGUCUGCGGACCAUUAGUUUGUUGGUGGGGUAAAGGCCUACCAAGACUGCGAUGGUUAGCUGGUCUGAGAGGAUGAUCAGCCACACUGGAACUGACACACGGUCCAG